GAUUGGCUAUCUCCCAGACGCGCGUCGCGGAGAACGCCCGCUGCAUUUUGGGAGUUGUAGUCCGCGGUGCGCCAGCAGCGCUGUACCGGCCUAGGUCGCUCGAAGAACGGCUCUGCGCUGAGGCCUGGACUCCGGCCGGGCGGAGAUCUCACAGCGUCCCGCUGCUUGUUUUGUGUCGUCCUUGGAGCCAUGGUUACGUGAACCUGCCCUCCACGACGCUGCCCUGCCCCCGGCUGGCACGGUCACGUUUCCCAAUGCAGAUAUGGGAAGAUGGUGCCUCUGGAGAAGGCGUCAGCCCCCCCAGGACCUCCCCGACUCCCCCCGCACUGCCCGUGCCAGGAUGGCAGCGGGGGACCCGCCGGAGGACCCCGGGACCACCUGCAGGAGAACGCCUGCCGACCUGGACGUCUCCCACCUGCUCCGGAACUUCGCCCGCCAGGCCCUCGCCCAGCUCCACCAGCGGUGCCACCAGCGGCGGCAGCCCGAGGCGUGCUCCAAGGAGCAGAUGCUGGAGCUGGAUUCGCUCCUGAAGGUCCUGCCCAGCGAGGCCCAUCCGUCCCUGGGUGUUGGCGCACCUUCCCGAGAGCUGCGAGAAGGCGGCCCCCCUGGCGGAGGGCCUCCCCAAGGACAGGGAGGAGCCAGGUGAGGGGAGCAUGCCUCGGAGCAGGGGUGGGGAACCACCGGCCUGCGGGCCGAGGAAGACACGCAGAGUCAUUUGGUCUGCCCUGCCGAGGCGUGGGGUGAGUUAAUUAAACGGUGGACCAAAUACA